UGGUCAAGUUAUUAAGGGUGCAGGGCGGAUGCCUUGGCACUAGGAGCCGAUGAAGGACGUGAUAAGCUGCGAUAAGCUUCGGGGAGUUGCACGUAAACUUUGAUCCGAAGAUUUCCGAAUGAGGAAACUCACUUAGAGUAAUGUCUAAGUAUCAUUAAGUGAAUACAUAGCUUAAUGAGGGGAACUCAGGGAACUGAAACAUCUAAGUACCUGAAGGAAGAGAAAGAAAUUCGAUUCCGUAAGUAGCGGCGAGCGAACGCGGAUUAGCCCAAACUAAUAAAGUUUUCUUUAUUGGGGUUGCGGACAUAUCAUAACGAAGAGGUAUCGUAAUUGAAGAGGUUUGGAAAGACCCACCACAGAAGGUAAUAGUCCUGUAUGUUAAACGAGAAGACUUUAGAUAUGAUCCAGAGUACCACGGGACACGUGAAACCCUGUGGGAAGCAGGAGGGACCACCCUCCAAGGCUAAAUACUACCUAGUGACCGAUAGCGUAUAGUACCGUGAGGGAAAGGUGAAAAGAACCCCGGGAGGGGAGUGAAAUAGAACCUGAAACCCUGCACUUACAAGCUGUGGAAGCACAUUUCUUGUGUGACCGCGUACUUUUUGUAGAACGGGCCAACGAGUUACGUUAAGUAGCAAGGUUAAGCACUUAAGGUGCGGAGCCGUAGCGAAAGCGAGUUUUAACUGAGCGUUCAGUUACUUGACGUAGACCCGAAACCGGGCGACCUACCCAUGAGCAGGAUGAAGCGAAAGUAAAAUUUCGUGGAGGUCCGAACCCACGAGCGUUGAAAAGCUCGGGGAUGACUUGUGGGUAGCGGUGAAAUUCCAAUCGAGCCCGGAGAUAGCUGGUUCUCCCCGAAAUAGCUUUAGGGCUAGCCUCAAGGUGAGAGAUACGGAGGUAGAGCACUGAAUGUCCUAGGGGGUAUUGCACCUACCGAAGACUAUCAAACUCCGAAUGCCGUCAUCUUAUACUUGGGAGUCAGACUGUGGGUGAUAAGAUUCAUAGUCGAAAGGGCAACAGCCCAGAUCGUCAGCUAAGGUCCCUAAAUGUAAGUUAAGUGGUAAAGGAUGUGGGAUUGCACAGACAACCAGGAUGUUGGCUUAGAAGCAGCCACUCAUUCAAAGAGUGCGUAAUAGCUCACUGGUCGAGUGAUCCUGCGCCGAAGAUUUCCGGGGCUAAAACUUACUACCGAAGCUACGGCAUCAGUAAUGAUGGGUAGGGGAGCUUCCCAUACGGGUUGAAGCAUGACCGUAAGGACAUGUGGACAGUAUGGGAGUGAGAAUGUUGGCAUGAGUAGCGAGAUGUGGGUGAGAAUCCCACAGGCCGUAAACCCAAGGUUUCCAGGGGAAGGUUCGUCCGCCCUGGGUUAGUCGGGACCUAAGCUGAGGCCGAAAGGCGUAGGUGAUGGACAACAGGUUGAUAUUCCUGUACUACCGAUAACCGUUUGAGAGAAGGGAUGACACAGUAGGAUAAGCUAAGCACACUGUUGGUUAUGUGUGCCCAAGCAUUGAGGCAGUCAAAGUAGGCAAAUCCGCUUUGAUAAUGCUGGGAUGUGAUGGGGAGCGAAAUUUAGUAGCGAAGUAGCUGAUUUCACACUGUCAAGAAAAGUCUCUAUCGAGGUUAAAGGUACCCGUACCGCAAACCGACACAGGUGGGUGAGGAGAGUAUCCUAAGGCCAGCGAGAGAACUGUUGUUAAGGAACUCGGCAAAAUGACCCCGUAACUUAGGGAUAAGGGGUGCCACCAUCAGGUGGCCGCAGAGAAUAGGCCCAAGCGACUGUUUACCAAAAACAUAGGUUUCUGCUAAGUCGCAAGACGAUGUAUAGGAGCUGACGCCUGCCCGGUGCUGGAAGGUUAAGGGGAUCUGUUAGAGCAAUCGAAGCAGUGAACUUAAGCCCCAGUAAACGGCGGCCGUAACUAUAACGGUCCUAAGGUAGCGAAAUUCCUUGUCGGGUAAGUUCCGACCCGCACGAAAGGCGUAACGAUUUGGGCACUGUCUCAACAACAGACUCGGUGAAAUUGUAAUUCCGGUGAAGAUGCCGGAUACCUGCGACAGGACGGAAAGACCCCAUGGAGCUUUACUGUAGCUUGACAUUGGGUCUUGGUACUACAUGUACAGGAUAGGUGGGAGGCUUUGAAACCAGGACGCCAGUUUUGGCGGAGCCAUCCUUGGGAUACCACCCUUGUAGUACUGGGACUCUAACCAUAGGCCAUGAAUCUGGUCUUGGGACACUGUCAGGUGGGCAGUUUGACUGGGGCGGUCGCCUCCCAAAAGGUAACGGAGGCGCUCAAAGGUUCUCUCAGUACGGUCGGAAAUCGUACGUAGAGUGUAAAGGCAAAAGAGAGCUUGAUUGCAAGACAUACAGGUCGAGCAAGGAUGAAAAUCGGACUUAGUGAUCCGGUGGUUCUGCGUGGAAGGGCCAUCGCUCAACGGAUAAAAGCUACCCUGGGGAUAACAGGCUUAUCUCCCCCAAGAGUCCACAUCGACGGGGAGGUUUGGCACCUCGAUGUCGGCUCAUCACAUCCUGGGGCUGUAGUAGGUCCCAAGGGUUGGGCUGUUCGCCCAUUAAAGUGGUACGCGAGCUGGGUUCAGAACGUCGUGAGACAGUUCGGUCCCUAUCCGUCGCAGGCGUAGGAAAUUUGAGAAGACCUGUCCUUAGUACGAGAGGACCGGGAUGGACGUACCUCUGGUGUACCAGUUGUCCUGCCAAGGGCAUGGCUGGGUAGCUAUGUACGGAAUGGAUAAGCGCUGAAAGCAUCUAAGCGCGAAGCCAACUUCAAGAUAAGAUUUCCCACCGCAAGGGUAAGACCCCAGAAAGACUAUCUGGUUGAUAGGUCGAAGGUGUAAGUGCAGCAAUGUAUUUAGCUUAUCGAUACUAAUAGGUCGAGGACUUGACCAAU
rnacentral:rRNA from 1 species